CGGACGGGUGAGUAACGCGUGAGAAUCUGCCAAAAGGACGGGGACAACAGGGGGAAACCGCUGCUAAAACCCGAUGUGCCGGAAGGUAAAAAAUUUAUUGCCUUUUGAUGAGCUCGCGUCAGAUUAGCUAGUUGGUGAGGUAAAAGCCCACCAAGGCGACGAUCGGUAGCUGGUCUGAGAGGACGACCAGCCACACUGGGACUGAGACACGGCCUAGACUCCUACGGGAGGCAGCAGUGGGGAAUUUUCCGCAAUGGGCGAAAGCCUGACGGAGCAAGACCGCGUGGGGGACGAAGGCUCUUGGGUUGUAAACCCCUUUUCUCUGGGAAGAAAGUUGUGAAAGCAACCUGACGGUACCAGAGGAAUCAGCAUCGGCUAACUCCGUGCCAGCAGCCGCGGUAAGACGGAGGAUGCAAGCGUUAUCCGGAAUGAUUGGGCGUAAAGCGUCCGCAGGUGGCAGUUCAAGUCUGCUGUCAAAGACCGGGGCUUAACUUCGGAAAGGCAGUGGAAACUGAACAGCUAGAGUAUGGUAGGGGCAGAGGGAAUUCCUGGUGUAGCGGUGAAAUGCGUAGAGAUCAGGAAGAACAUCGGUGGCGAAGGCGCUCUGCUGGACCAUAACUGACACUCAGGGACGAAAGCUAGGGGAGCGAAUGGGAUUAGAUACCCCAGUAGUC
rnacentral:rRNA from 1 species